AACGAACGCUGGCGGCAUGCCUAACACAUGCAAGUCGAACGAUGCCUUCGGGCAUAGUGGCGCACGGGUGCGUAACGCGUGGGAAUCUGCCCUUCGGUUCGGAAUAACUCAGGGAAACUUGAGCUAAUACCGGAUAAUGACGUAAGUCCAAAGAUUUAUCGCCGAAGGAUGAGCCCGCGUAGGAUUAGGUAGUUGGUGGGGUAAUGGCCCACCAAGCCGACGAUCCUUAGCUGGUCUGAGAGGAUGAUCAGCCACACUGGGACUGAGACACGGCCCAGACUCCUACGGGAGGCAGCAGUGGGGAAUAUUGGACAAUGGGCGAAAGCCUGAUCCAGCAAUGCCGCGUGAGUGAUGAAGGCCUUAGGGUUGUAAAGCUCUUUUACCAGGGAUGAUAAUGACAGUACCUGGAGAAUAAGCUCCGGCUAACUCCGUGCCAGCAGCCGCGGUAAUAC
rnacentral:rRNA from 1 species